rnacentral:rRNA from 1 species
CGCUUAGAUGUCCUGGGCCGCACGCGCGCUACACUGAGUGUCUGAGAUACGAGUCUGCCUGGUCCGGCAAGGUCUAGGUAAUCGCUAAAAGACACAUCAUGCUUGGGAUAGAUUAUUGCAAAUAUUAAUCUUGAACGAGGAAUUCCUAGUAAGCGCAAGUCAACAGCUUGCGUUGAUUACGUCCCUGCCCUUUGUACACACCGCCCGUCGCUACUACUGAUUGGAUGUUUAAGCGAGGUUCUCGAACUGCUAGCGACUUAGCUUCGGUGAGGUCGCAGUGUGGGAAGUGAACCUAGCUUUGGUGUCUAGAGGAAGUAAAAGUCGUAACA